ACAGCCUGGGCAAACAGGGACGGCUGGGGUGUCGUUUGACCCGUAAGGAAUUAGAAAUCAGGUUUUAAAGAAGUGAAAUCGGAAUGCAAUCGUUUAUUAUUAAAUGUCAGCUGUAUUAAAUCACGCUCUUAACAUUCUAUCUUUAAAAUCUCCAAUGGAUACCCAUCAGUUAAAAUAAAAGUGAAACUCCUGGUCUAACUGGAUCCUCCUCUACACGCGCUCAGGAUGCUUUGGCCACAGAGGCCUUCUUGCGGUUCCUGGAAGUCCGCAAGUUCCGUCCAGCAUUGUUAACCAUUCCCCUUGCAUGUUGCUUGCGCAAGACUGAUUCCUUCUGCCUGGUACUUUGCCUGCUGGUAUCUUCUUGUCCUUUAGGUGUCAGCUCAAAUGUCACCUCUGCAGAGAGCCUUUCUCUGACCACACAACGGAAAAUGGCCACAAACACAGUCUCCUCUCUAAAGACCCGGCCCUGCUUUUCUUCACAGCACUCCUCACUCUCUGAAACAAUGCUUCUGUUGGCUGUUUCCUCAUUAUCAAUCUCCCUCUCAAGAAUGCAAGCUCCAUGAAGGCAGAGUUACUACCUUUUUAAGGGCAGUAUCCUAACCCAAGAUACAAAGACAGAGAUGUAUGGACAGAAAACACAGAAGACACAUAGGGUGUUGCAAUUGGAAAAAGAAAGUCCUGUCAAUGAAUUUGUAUGCUGUUUCCCUAGGCAAGGCGAGGUCAGGAGCCAUGUAGACUCCAUGGCCAGUGUGGAGCCCACUGCUGAGCUUGA